AUUGGAGGGAGGGGUCCCUCAGCCCAGAUUGUGAAAGGGCACAGGCCAGGCCAAGGGACCCCACCGGUGCACG
rnacentral:pre_miRNA from 1 species